UGGGGAAUCUUGGACAAUGGGCGAAAGCCUGAUCCAGCAACGCCGCGUGCGGGACGAAGGCCCUCGGGUCGUAAACCGCUGUCAGGAGGGAGGAACGGUGCGUGGUUAAGAGCUGCGUACUUUGACAGUACCUCCAGAGGAAGCCCCGGCUAACUCCGUGCCAGCAGCCGCGGUAAUACGUAGGGGGCGAGCGUUGUCCGGAUUUAUUGGGCGUAAAGAGCUCGUAGGCGGUUCGGUAAGUCGGGUGUGAAACUCUGGGCUCAACCCAGAGAGGCCACUCGAUACUGCUGUGACUAGAGUGCGGUAGGGGAGCGGGGAAUUCCUGGUGUAGCGGUGAAAUGCGCAGAUAUCAGGAGGAACACCAGUGGCGAAGGCGCCGCUCUGGGCCGUAACUGACGCUGAGGAGCGAAAGCGUGGGGAGCGAACAGGAUUAGAUACCCUGGUAGUCCACGCCGUAAACGGUGGGCGCUAGGUGUGGGGAUCGUUUCCACGAUCUCCGUGCCGUAGCUACGCAUUAAGCGCCCGCCUGGGAGUACGG
rnacentral:rRNA from 1 species